UACGAAGGGGGCUAGCGUUGCUCGGAAUUACUGGGCGUAAAGGGAGCGUAGGCGGACAUUUAAGUCAGGGGUGAAAUCCCAGAGCUCAACUCUGGAACUGCCUUUGAUACUGGAUGUCUUGAGUGUGAGAGAGGUAUGUGGAACUCCGAGUGUAGAGGUGAAAUUCGUAGAUAUUCGGAAGAACACCAGUGGCGAAGGCGACAUACUGGCUCAUUACUGACGCUGAGGCUCGAAAGCGUGGGGAGCAAACAGG
rnacentral:rRNA from 2 species